AACUUAAAAACAGAAGGGACGAUGGGUGGCCGAUGAAAAUAUAAUCUUGUUGUAAACGUUUGAACUGAAUUUUUCAAAUGAUACCAAUAGGAUUAGUCUGCCCAUUUUCUCUAAAAAUAACGUAUACGUUUAUUUAGUGCGGCAUAUAUACUAAUCCUUCCAUUAUUAUGAUGGAGGGAUUUUUUU
rnacentral:sRNA from 2 species